UCGGAUAUUGGGCGUAAGCGCGCGCAGGCGGUUUCUUAAGUCUGAUGUGAAAGCCCCCGGCUCAACCGGGGAGGGUCAUUGGAAACUGGGGAACUUGAGUGCAGAAGAGGAGAGUGGAAUUCCACGUGUAGCGGUGAAAUGCGUAGAGAUGUGGAGGAACACCAGUGGCGAAGGCGACUCUCUGGUCUGUAACUGACGCUGAGGCGCGAAAGCGUGGGGAGCGAACAGGAUUAGAUACCCUGGUAGUCCACGCCGUAAACGAUGAGUGCUAAGUGUUAGAGGGUUUCCGCCCUUUAGUGCUGCAGCAAACGCAUUAAGCACUCCGCCUGGGGAGUACGGUCGCAAGACUGAAACUCAAAGGAAUUGACGGGGGCCCGCACAAGCGGUGGAGCAUGUGGUUUAAUUCGAAGCAACGCGAAGAACCUUACCAGGUCUUGACAUCCUCUGACAACCCUAGAGAUAGGGCUUCCCCUUCGGGGGCAGAGUGACAGGUGGUGCAUGGUUGUCGUCAGCUCGUGUCGUGAGAUGUUGGGUUAAGUCCCGCAACGAGCGCAACCCUUGAUCUUAGUUGCCAGCAUUCAGUUGGGCACUCUAAGGUGACUGCCGGUGACAAACCGGAGGAAGGUGGGGAUGACGUCAAAUCAUCAUGCCCCUUAUGACCUGGGCUACACACGUGCUACAAUGGGCAGAACAAAAGGGC
rnacentral:rRNA from 1 species